AAAGCUGGACGGAGAAGCAGCAGUUCCUUUCUUUUUGUGCACAAGCUGGUCCUGGCUAGCUAGUAAAGUUAUCUGCAACUGCAAGUACAGCGUCGUUCCCAACUUCCCAAGCAAAGAAGCCAUUAUUUUAGGAACAGUAGUGGCGAGGUCAGUGGGGAGACGAGAGACAACUAAACAACUUGGCCCGAAGAACGCGACGUCCAUUACCAUUUAGUCUCCGG
rnacentral:lncRNA from 1 species